GUGCCAGUCUGACUGCCACAAUCGAGUGAGUCGAGUUUAGUCGCGUGAGGUUUUCGUUCCAAGGUGCAGUGGUUAGGUACACGGUAAAUAGAAGAGUGGGUGGGGAGAACUCGAAGGGGGAGGGGAAGGUGGAAAACAAGUGCGAAGCGCUCAACAGCAGAAGCUUCAUCACAUACAGAGAGAGAUGCUGUGUGGGAUGCUGCGUUGGAGGGAAGGAGACGCAAGGCGACCCCCUGUGACCGACCCCGAAGAUGAUGUGAUGAGAGCAAUUCAGGGCGUUCUUUUCAACCAACCAGACCAAGCAAUGCGUGAGUCUUCGCUUGACCACAGAUCCAUCCUCCACCCUACAGGACCAGCCAGCAGACAAAGACAAAGUAAACGGGAGCAAGGCAGAAAAAGCAUUGGACAUGCCAAGCCACUUCAGUUAGAAGUCAAUUUUUGUGGACCAUUCACAGCUAUGCAGUGAGUGAAGCAUCUCUGAUGUGAUUAACUUUACAAUAAUGUAACUGUAGACCUUACAUUUUGUCUAUAAUAAAUGAACAUAAAAUCAA